rnacentral:rRNA from 1 species
GUACACAAAAAUGCACAUAUUGUGAGCUCGAUGAGUAGGGCGGGACACGUGGUAUCCUGUCUGAAUAUGGGGGGACCAUCCUCCAAGGCUAAAUACUCCUGACUGACCGAUAGUGAACCAGUACCGUGAGGGAAAGGCGAAAAGAACCCCGGCGAGGGGAGUGAAAAAGAACCUGAAACCGUGUACGUACAAGCAGUGGGAGCCUCUUAAUGGGGUGACUGCGUACCUUUUGUAUAAUGGGUCAGCGACUUAUAUUCUGUAGCAAGGUUAACCGAAUAGGGGAGCCGAAGGGAAACCGAGUCUUAACUGGGCGUUAAGUUGCAGGGUAUAGACCCGAAACCCGGUGAUCUAGCCAUGGGCAGGUUGAAGGUUGGGUAACACUAACUGGAGGACCGAACCGACUAAUGUUGAAAAAUUAGCGGAUGACUUGUGGCUGGGGGUGAAAGGCCAAUCAAACCGGGAGAUAGCUGGUUCUCCCCGAAAGCUAUUUAGGUAGCGCCUCGUGAAUUCAUCUCCGGGGGUAGAGCACUGUUUCGGCAAGGGGGUCAUCCCGACUUACCAACCCGAUGCAAACUGCGAAUACCGGAGAAUGUUAUCACGGGAGACACACGGCGGGUGCUAACGUCCGUCGUGAAGAGGGAAACAACCCAGACCGCCAGCUAAGGUCCCAAAGUCAUGGUUAAGUGGGAAACGAUGUGGGAAGGCCCAGACAGCCAGGAUGUUGGCUUAGAAGCAGCCAUCAUUUAAAGAAAGCGUAAUAGCUCACUGGUCGAGUCGGCCUGCGCGGAAGAUGUAACGGGGCUAAACCAUGCACCGAAGCUGCGGCAGCGACGCUUAUGCGUUGUUGGGUAGGGGAGCGUUCUGUAAGCCUGCGAAGGUGUGCUGUGAGGCAUGCUGGAGGUAUCAGAAGUGCGAAUGCUGACAUAAGUAACGAUAAAGCGGGUGAAAAGCCCGCUCGCCGGAAGACCAAGGGUUCCUGUCCAACGUUAAUCGGGGCAGGGUGAGUCGACCCCUAAGGCGAGGCCGAAAGGCGUAGUCGAUGGGAAACAGGUUAAUAUUCCUGUACUUGGUGUUACUGCGAAGGGGGGACGGAGAAGGCUAUGUUGGCCGGGCGACGGUUGUCCCGGUUUAAGCGUGUAGGCUGGUUUUCCAGGCAAAUCCGGAAAACCAAGGCUGAGGCGUGAUGACGAGGCACUACGGUGCUGAAGCGACAAAUGCCCUGCUUCCAGGAAAAGCCUCUAAGCAUCAGGUAACAUCAAAUCGUACCCCAAACCGACACAGGUGGUCAGGUAGAGAAUACCAAGGCGCUUGAGAGAACUCGGGUGAAGGAACUAGGCAAAAUGGUGCCGUAACUUCGGGAGAAGGCACGCUGAUAUGUAGGUGAAGCGACUUGCUCGUGGAGCUGAAAUCAGUCGAAGAUACCAGCUGGCUGCAACUGUUUAUUAAAAACACAGCACUGUGCAAACACGAAAGUGGACGUAUACGGUGUGACGCCUGCCCGGUGCCGGAAGGUUAAUUGAUGGGGUUAGCGGUAACGCGAAGCUCUUGAUCGAAGCCCCGGUAAACGGCGGCCGUAACUAUAACGGUCCUAAGGUAGCGAAAUUCCUUGUCGGGUAAGUUCCGACCUGCACGAAUGGCGUAAUGAUGGCCAGGCUGUCUCCACCCGAGACUCAGUGAAAUUGAACUCGCUGUGAAGAUGCAGUGUACCCGCGGCAAGACGGAAAGACCCCGUGAACCUUUACUAUAGCUUGACACUGAACAUUGAGCCUUGAUGUGUAGGAUAGGUGGGAGGCUUUGAAGUGUGGACGCCAGUCUGCAUGGAGCCGACCUUGAAAUACCACCCUUUAAUGUUUGAUGUUCUAACGUUGGCCCCUAAUCGGGGUUGCGGACAGUGUCUGGUGGGUAGUUUGACUGGGGCGGUCUCCUCCUAAAGAGUAACGGAGGAGCACGAAGGUUGGCUAAUCCUGGUCGGACAUCAGGAGGUUAGUGCAAUGGCAUAAGCCAGCUUGACUGCGAGCGUGACGGCGCGAGCAGGUGCGAAAGCAGGUCAUAGUGAUCCGGUGGUUCUGAAUGGAAGGGCCAUCGCUCAACGGAUAAAAGGUACUCCGGGGAUAACAGGCUGAUACCGCCCAAGAGUUCAUAUCGACGGCGGUGUUUGGCACCUCGAUGUCGGCUCAUCACAUCCUGGGGCUGAAGUAGGUCCCAAGGGUAUGGCUGUUCGCCAUUUAAAGUGGUACGCGAGCUGGGUUUAGAACGUCGUGAGACAGUUCGGUCCCUAUCUGCCGUGGGCGCUGGAGAACUGAGGGGGGCUGCUCCUAGU